CGCAACGGCCGACGCGGCCCGGCAUUUUUCUCUAAAUCGGCAGUAAAUACAGCUGAGUAAAAUUAGCUUGGUUUUCUUCCUUCUUUUGUAACUGAACUGUUUUUAUUAAAAAUUCUAUUUGAAUAUGUAGAAAAAGUGGGGAUGUCCUGUAAUAUAUCGUAGCUUUUCUUGUUUACAGGGUGCUCAGAAAGCAUGCGUCCCUUAGAGUCCCACAGAAAGGUUCUCAGUGCGCUCUCUAUCAAGGUAUGUAUUUACAAAUAAGUGAUCCCUUUAGAUAUUUGCCUGUGUACCUUUUCCUGUAAUUCAGAGCUUGCGUUCUGUGGGUUGUAUGAUAAAGCUGUAAAACAUGUAAGAAUGGUUUUGCAAGUCUGAAUCGUUGAAGGCAGCAAUAAGUGGAUUUAGAGCCUGUUCUUGAGCAGACAAAGGGAAAAAGUGUGACUCUGAUGCUGAACUUGUCAUUUUUCAUUUGACUUGUCUUGAAUGAUUUAGGAAUAGAGAGAACUAGAAAAAGAGAGAAAUAGAAUCGAUUAUUGAGCAGUCCUCAAAUGCUCACCAUAAUUCAGUGUAGAGCCAAAGGGAAGGGUGAUGGAACAGAGCUCUGUGCUUUGGAAGGAAAUAAAUUUAAACCUGAUCUCCGCACAGAGUCUCACUAACUUCUGUGGUUUUAAAAUACAAAAUACGUUUAGGAAGUGUUGGAAGUUAGUAUUUUGGGAAAGAAACGGCAGUUCCACAGAACAUUCCAUUUCACAGAGGCUCUAGGAAGGAUUCAUGUUGUAACUGCUGUCACUGCAAUCAGUUGGUGGUUCAGCCUUGAAACGUGCACUUGGCCUUCUAUAAAGCGCUGUUUUGUUUGCCUUUCAUUGCUAUGAGUCUUGAUAAAUUGGAGAAGAGCCCAAGAGAAAUUUUUCAUCCCUUGAUAUAAAAGGGAUCGGUGAAUUUUAACUUUGGAGUCCUCUAUGCUAAGGAUGCUCAGCUUACAGAUGAUGAAAUGUUCAGUAAUGGGAAAGACUCUCAUAUCCUCGUCGUCGGGCUCGGUGCUGUCCAAGAAGAUACAGAGACUAAAAAAAUCAUAAGCAGCAAAAUAUGACUGCAGGGAAAAGAAGCUGGAGAGAACAGAAUGUGAUAUUGUUAUCCUUACCCUGUAUUAGAAACAUCCGCUGUGCCUUGAUGCUGGCAGCUGCCAGGGGCUUGUUAGCUCUUUGUAGGCAGGUGUAGGUGUUCACUUGUAGGUUUUUUCUCUGGACAAGUCAAUUCAAACUUUGCUAAGCUUAUAUAUGCAAAUUACUCUCUAGCACAGUCCAGCAUGACAUUUUUGAAUGUUGUAAAAAUACCAUGUUACUUGGAAAUUGCUAAUGAUGAGAAGCUUUAGGGGAAAAUAAGAUGUCAGUGUUGGGAGAUGUGAGAAGAAUUUUGAGGGGAUGUUAGACUGAAAUAAAGCACACUUGAAGCUGGACUGGCAUGCUGGCAGAUCCCCUAUUAAACAGUAGUGCUGAGAUUAGCCUGGGGGUUGCCCAUUGUUUCUGUAGAAAUAAAUGUUUUCUGGUCUUCAGAAGUAAGCUGCUUUGAAAAGCUGGAAGGCGCAGCAUAGUGACAAUCCGUGUGCUUCGCAUUAAAAAUAGAUUUCAGAAGGGUCCUAGGCUUUUGUCUUUUCCUAGAAGUCGAUGUAAUCCUGUCGAGGAGUUUUUAAUUCUGUGCUGCCAUGUCAUCAAUCAGGGCCCUGUCGUACUAAUCAUCAUACAGAUGCAAAACAAAAAAUCAGACCCCGUCCCAAGCACUUAGAGCCCAGAAUACGAUUUCCUCAGGCUGCCAUUUGUGUGCCAUCGGUACUCACCAUGGAAGCGAGCUGGGGAUUGUUGCACCCGUUGGGAACAAACCGCUUCUUGUCACACAGAAAUGGAAUUGGGACGACGCCUCGGCCAGCCCCUCUGUGCCAUCGUCUCCUGAAUCUGCAGCAGAGCAGUUCCAGUCCAUCCGGGCACGUGCAAUCCAGUUCCUGAUGAUCUGAGCACACGGAGCAGUGCUCAGCUGCUGUGGGGGGCUCAGGGAAGGCAGAGUGUGCAUUGUCAUCUUCCUGAACCUACAGACAAAUCAAAGUGAGAAGCCACAGGGUGGAAAUCAGUUGCAUAUAUGCUAAACAAAACUUGCAGGUUGUUUUUAAGAAUUGUUUUUGCUUGUUCUUUGUUGUGCUUCUGUGCUUAGAAAACCUCCCUUUAAAAUCAGUUCAGUUCAUCAGUUGAACCUUUGUUUGCAGACCCUCAGUGAGCAGAAUUUGUUGCAGACUCAGUGCACGCUGUGCCGGCCUCCCGGGAGUGUGAGGAGCUCAUGUGUGCUACUUUUUGCUUUAGGACGCUCUGAGGUAUUUAUUCCUUUUGGGAUACGUGAUGAGAAUUCCCAAGAGAGGUAGUUAUAAGGUAUGACAUUGGGAAAAAGCCUGUGUGGUUGGAAUGUUGUUGCUGUCAAAAGUUAAUUUUUCCUUCAUUCUUAGCCAGUAGUUAGCUUUUUGCUUUAUUUUUGUGGUAUCAGUAUUUUAUUGUUUAAAAAAUUCCUUCAAAAUAACUUCAGUGGUCGCCCACCAGUACCUUGUUCAGAUUUGCCUAUUUGCUUGUAGCUGAAAUGUUCACAUCUUGAUUAUCAUUCUAUUUAAGAAACUGCUGCCCAGCCAACUAAUAACUGAAUAUCCAUCUGUCUAGGACACGGGGAGAGGAUUUAGGUAAUGUCUUUGUUUCCAGAAAAAAGUUCCAGUGUACUUUCUAAACAGAGGAGAAGGGGGUGAAGACUCUGGGCUCUGAUGCCGUUGGGGCACCCCAAGGUCCCCAGGAGAGGGAGCCCCACUGCGGUGCAGGAGCAGGUGUGUUCUCAUCUAAUAUUGAACAAAUUAUAAAUAUGAAAAUUAUAAACAUGAAAAUAUUUUUAAAAUACUUAAAUAAAGCAGGUUUUCUUUAUUGGUCAAUAGGCAGGGUUUUGAUUGUAAAAAUUAUAAAUACAAAUAAUAUAAAGGUAGAAAUCUAAGUUUAGAAAUAUAUAAUAAAUACAUACAGAUAAAUAUAAAAAUUAAAAAUAUAAGAAAAAAUUAGU